GCUCGCUACAACAAAACAAAACACCAAUUCGUUUGAUUUUUUUUGCUAGUAGUUUACGAAACUCCAAAGCUGAAAAAGAAAUGUUCUCUCCACCCUACCUAUUGCGUUCCAUGACAUAUUUGCUGUUGAUUCUACUGUAGCUAGACAUAACACUGACUUCAAUUCGCAGCAGAGAAAUCCAAGAUUUUAUUUUCAGAAUCACUUAAACUGUGAUUGCAACAGGAAAACGUAAAGCGUUUUAGUUAUAUCACGACAAUUUUCGACAGUUUUUGUUAACUAGCAAGUUUCCAACACCUAACCUAGAGGUCGUAACCGAGUGUAGUUUGAAAUGACACCGCGCUGAUGAUGGGCCCUGAAACCUACUAUGCGUCUUAUUGUCUCCGUAAAAGUACCGUUUAAUAAGAAAACGAUGCCAAUACGUAUUCCCGGUACGACGAACUACAUCAUCAGCGUCUUUAGUGGAAAAGAACAUGAAGGAAAACGUUGUAGGAACUAAUGCAGCUGUAAAUUGUCGCUACUAUAAAUUGAUAAUUUCAUUUCUGCAUAAAUGUAUUUAUGUUUAAACUAUUUAUAUGUUUAUAAAGAGAGAUAUUUAUAAAAAAAAUCUUAUUUAUGUAACAAACUGAAGAGAGGGUGAACUGCAGGAGAAAGAAACACAAAGUUUGUAACAUUUGUCCUAAUAGCUGUUACGUGUUAAAUUGCAUUUCACAAAAGUC